rnacentral:lncRNA from 1 species
UAUAAUAUGACUAAAUUCUUAACCCGGCUUAAGCAUUUUGGGUGGUGGCAAGGCCCAAGAGAUUAAGAGAGUUAAGCGUGCUAGGACGGGAGUAGUCCUAAUAUGGGUGACCUCUUGGGAAGUUGGGGUGGUGGCAAGGCCUAAGAGGUUAAGAGAGUUAAGCGUGCUAGGACGGGAGUAGUCCUAGGAUGGGUGAUCUCUUGGGAAGUUGGGGCGUCACACUUAUCUUUAU